GACGACGCUGGCGGCGUGCCUAAUACAUGCAAGUCGAACGAGUGGCGGACGGGUGAGUAAUGUCUGGGAAACUGCCUGAUGGAGGGGGAUAACUACUGGAAACGGUAGCUAAUACCGCAUACCAUCAGAUGUGCCCAGAUGGGAUUAGCUUGUUGGUGGGGUAACGGCUCACCAAGGCGACGAUCCCUAGCUGGUCUGAGAGGAUGACCAGCCACACUGGAACGGAGACACGGUCCAGACUCCGACGGGAGGCAGAAGUGGGGAAUAUUGCACAAUGGGCGCAAGCCUGAUGCAGCCAUGCCGCGUGUAUGAAGAAGGCCUUCGGGUUGUAAAGCACUUUAAGUUGGGAGGCGUUACCAACAGAAUAAGCACCGGCUAACUUCGUGCCAGCCGCCGCGGUAAUUC
rnacentral:rRNA from 1 species